GGGGAUAUGGCUCAGCAGUAGAGCACAUGUUGAACAUGCAAGAGGUACUGGGUUCAAUCCCCAAUAUCUUCA
rnacentral:tRNA from 1 species